rnacentral:rRNA from 1 species
GGGGGGGGGGGGGGGGGGGCGGGGGGGGGGGGAGGGGGGGGGGGGCGGGGCCUUGGGGCGGGCGGGGGGCGGGGCGCGGGUGGGGAGGGGAUCGGAGCAUGCGCAGGCGGGGGGGCUACCAGUUAGCCAGAGGUGCUCAUACCGCAUACGUCCUGAGGGGGAAAGCGGGGGAUCGCCAGAUCGCGCGCGAUUGGAGUGGCCGAUGGCAGAUUGGCGGGGUGGUGGGGUAGAUGCCGACCAAGGCGACGAUUUGGAGCUGGUCUGAGAGGAUGAUCAGCCACACUGGGACUGAGGCACGGCCCAGACUCCUACGGGAGGCAGCAGUGGGGAAUUUUGGACAAUGGGGGCAACCCUGAUCCAGCCAUUCCGCGUGAGUGAAGAAGGCCUUCGGGUUGUAAAGCUCUUUCGGCAGGAACGAAACGGUGGGCUCUAACAUAGUCCGCUAAUGACGGUACCUGAAGAAGAAGCACCGGCUAACUACGUG